AUGCUUUCUUCCUUCGUCCCAUUGGGAAUGUACCGACACCUCCCUACAGGUGAGUACCGGAUUCUGAUGUACCAUAGAACUUAUGAUCCGGCAAAUGUUGGCUUCUACAUCUUUGCAUUGGGCUCAGUUCAGCUGCCUAGGAAGAUCGGAUGGUCAACGGUGGUAGGGAUUUUCUAUGGGGAAGCUAUCCUACUCCAUGGUAGCCUGCAUUGGCAUGUGGAGAAACAUGAGUGCGGAAGCAACAUUAUAAUGGUAUUCAACACCAUAGCCGAGUCGUCCCGCGAGAUGUGCGCUCCGGUUGUUCCUGACCGCGCUAAUCUGUUUGAGAUAUAUGGCAUGCUCGGCAUGUCCAACUUUAGUGAUGACGAAGUGGAAAUCAUUGAUAUCUGGAUGAUGCAGGAUUACUUAAGCGAGGUUUGGACCUUAAACUAUCGGGUUGAAUUGCUGGUUUCAUAUCUCAAUGUGCAGUUUGGUCAGAUUGUCCAUGAUUGGCAUGUGGUGGUCCACUCUUGUGAUGGUGAUAUGCUCCUGUUGGUCAGAUUUGGCGAGUGGUUACUUCACUUUGAUAUUGAAGGCAGUUUGGUGGCCUAUUUCCAUCAUGUAGGUCUCCGUAUUUCUCAACAUCGGCUCAAGCAAACUCUUGUUCCACAUACCUUCUUUCCAACGCUAGAUGGUUAUUCUGUGAACCGUCAGUGCUUUUGA
rnacentral:rRNA from 1 species